UCCGAUGAAAUGAGUGACAGUUGGCUUGUGCCCAAGUCAACUGCCCUACCGCCGCCAGUUGCAUUUUGCAAUUGGGUUUAGUUUUUCAUUCUCAGCGAAAACGGUUUUCUCAAGGUGUUGCGAAAAUAGCCGGCCAUACUAUAGAGUCCUGCGCCGCGAACGGAACCAAUUUGUGUCUCCAGCCCACCCACAGCAACAGUGACACAAUGAC